rnacentral:snoRNA from 1 species
UUGUAGCCAGUUAAGCCGACUGUGCUCCAUUCCCUGUGGGGGCCCAGUGUCCAAUGGCUGCAAAUAGUAGCCUCCUUGGUCCACAUAUGCAACCUGUUCCCCGUACAGGUUGCCCUAAGCAACCUUGUAUACAACU